UACGUAGGUGACCAGCGUUGUCCGGAUUUACUGGGCGUAAAGAGCGCGCAGGCGGUCGUUCAAGUCGAGUGUGAAAGCCCCCGGCUCAACUGGGGAGGGUCACUCGAUACUGAUCGACUUGAGGGCAGGAGAGGGAAGCGGAAUUCCCGGUGUAGUGGUGAAAUGCGUAGAUAUCGGGAGGAACACCAGUGGCGAAGGCGGCUUCCUGGCCUGUUCUUGACGCUGAGGCGCGAAAGCUAGGGGAGCAAACGGG
rnacentral:rRNA from 1 species